rnacentral:rRNA from 1 species
AUACGUAGGUGGCAAGCGUUGUCCGGAAAUAUUGGGCGUAAAGCGCAUGUAGGCGGUGUGGUAAGUCGGUCGUGAAAAUGCGGUGCUUAACGGCGUAUGGCGAUCGAAACUGCUGAACUUGUGGGCCGGAGAGGAAAGGGGAACUCCCAGUGUAGCGGUGAAAUGCGUAGAGAUUGGGAGGAACACCAGUGGCGAAGGCGACUUACUGGACUGUAACUGACGCUGAGGCGCGAAAGUGUGGGGAGCAAACAGGAUUAGAUACCCUGGUAGUCCACACUGUAAACGAUGAAUGCUAGGUGUAGGGGGUAUCGACCCCUUCUGUGCCGCAGUCAACACAAUAAGCAUUCCGCCUGGGGAGUACAGCCGCAAGGUUGAAACUCAAAGGAAUUGGCGGGG